rnacentral:lncRNA from 1 species
GAGCAUAGACAUAGCAAGAAAGAAAAAAAAACGCACCUAAAACAUAAAAAAACGCAAACGGGCAACGAAAAAGGGGGUGCAACACAAGGACUUCCCAGGGGGUCACCCAUCCUAGUACUACUCUCGCCCAAGCACGCUUAACUGCGGAGUUCUGAUGGGAUCUGGUGCAUUAGUGCUGGUAUGAUCACAACCGAAAUACUAUCCAUGCUAAUUGUUUUUAUGUCUUACAAGACGCAGAACGUCGUUUGCUUUCGUACGCGAGGCGUGGGACCCACGUGAGGGAUCGGCUCCGUUCGGGAAACACGAAAACAAUCAACGAUGAACCGGGUGCCGCCCGAGCAUAGACAUAGCAAGAAAGAAAAAAAACGCACCUAAAACCUAAAAAAACGCAAACGGGCAACGAAAAAGGGGGUGCAACACGAGGACUUCCCAGGGGGUCACCCAUCCUAGUACUACUCUCGCCCAAGCACGCUUAACUGCGGAGUUCCGAUGUGAUUCGGUGCAUUAGUGCUUGUAUGAACUUCGUUUGCUUUCGUACGCGAGGCGUGGGACCCACGUGAGGGAUAGGCUCCGUUCCGGAAACACGAAAACAAUCAACAUUGAAUCGGAGGCCGCCCGAGCAUAAUCAUAGGAAGAAAGAAAAAAAAAACCGCACCUAAAACCUAAAAAAACGCAAACUGCCAAGCGCGCUUAAUUGCGGAGUUUUGAUGGGAUCCGGUGCAUUAGUGCUGGUAUGAUCGCACCCGAAAUAAUAUCCAUGCUUAUUGUUUUUAUGUCUUAGAAGUCGCAGAACCUCGUUUCCUUUCGUACGCGAGGCGUGGGACCCACGUGAGGGAUCGGCUCCGUUCCGGAAACACGAAAACAAUCAACAUUGAACCGGAGGCCGCCCGAGUAUAGACAUAGCAAUAAAAAAAAACGCACCUAAAACCUAAAAAAACUCAAACGGGCAACGAAAAAGGGGGUGCAACACGAGGACUUCCUAGGGGGUCACCCACCCUAAUACUACUAUCGUCUAAGCACACUUAAUUACGGAGUUCUAAUGGGAUCCGGUGCAUUAGUGCUUGUAUGAUCGCACCCGAAAUACUAUCCAUGCUCAUUGUUUUUAUGUCUUACAAGUAAUAGAACCUCAUUUGCUUUCGUACGCGAGGCGUGGGACCCACGUGAGGGAUCGGCUCCGUUCCAGAAACACGAAAACAAACAACAUUGAACCGGAGGCCGCCCGAGCAUAGACAUAGCAAGAAAGAAAAAAAACCGCACCUAAAGCCCAAAAAAACGCAAACGGGCAAUGAAAAAGGGGGUGCAACACAAGGACUUCCCAGGGGUCACCCAUCCUAGUACUACUCUCGCACAAACACGCUUAACUGCUGAGUUCUAAUGGGUUCCGAUGCAUUAGUGUUGGUAUGAUCGCACCCGAAAUACUAUCCAUGCUUAUUGUUUUAAUGUCUUACAAGUCGCAGAACCUCGUUUGCUUUUGUACGCGAGGCGUGGGAUGCACGUGAGAGAUCGGCUCCAUUCCGGAAACACGAAAACAACGAACAUUGAACCGGAGGCCGCCAGAGCUUAGACAUAGCAAGAAAGAAAAAAAAACCGCACCUAAAACCCAAAAAAACGCAAACGGGCAAUGAAAAAGGGGGUGCAACACGAGGACUUCCCAUGGGUCACCCAUCCUAGUACUACUCUCGCACAAGCACGCUUAACUGUUGAGUUCUAAUGGGAUCCGAUGCAUUAGUGCUGGUAUGAUCGCACCCAAAAUACUAUCCAUGCUUAUAGUUUUAAUGUCUUACAACUCGCAGAACCUCGUUUGCUUUCGUACGCGAAGCGUGGGACCCACGUGAGGGAUCAGCUCUGUUCCUGAAACACGAAAACAAUCAACAUUGAACCGGAGGCCGUCCGAGCAUAGACAUAGCAAGAAAGAAAAAAAACCGCACCUAAAACCUAAAAAAAACGCAAACUGGCAACGAAAAAAGGGGGUGCAACACGAGGACUUCCCAAGGGGUCACCCAUUCUAGUACUACUCUCUCCCAAGCACGCUUAACUGCGGUGUUCUGAUUGGAUCAGGUGCAUUAGUGCUGGUAUGAUCGCACCCUAAAUACUAUCAAUACUUAUUGUUUUUAUGUCUUACAAGUCGCAGAACCACGUUUGCUUUCGUACACGAGGCGUGGGACCCACGUGUGGGAUCGGCUCCGUUCUAGAAACACGAAAACAAUCAGCAUUGAACUGGAGGCCGCCAGAGCAUAGACAUAGCAAGAAAGAAAAACAACCACACGUAAAACCUAAAAAACUCAAACGGGCAACGAAAAAGGGGAUGCAACACGAGGACUUCCUAGGGGGGUCACCCAUCCUAAUACUACUCUCGCCUAAGCAAGCUUAACUGCGGAGUUCUGAUGGGAUCUGGUGCAUUAGUGCUGGUAUGAUCGCACCCAAAAUACUAUCCAUGCUUAUUGUUUUUAUGUCUUACAAGUCGCAGAACCUCGUUUGCUUUCGUACGUGAGGCGUGGGACCCACGUGAGGGAUCAGCUCCGUUCUGGAAACACGAAAACAAUGAACACUGAACCGGAGGCCGCCCAAUCAUAGACAUAGCAAGAAAGAAAAAAAAACCGCACCUAAAACCUAAAAAAACGCAAACGGGCAACGAAAAAGGGGGUGCAACACGAGGACUUCCCAGGGGGUCACCCAUCCUAGUACUAUUCUCGCCCAACCACACUUAACUGCGGAGUUCUGAUGGGAUCCGGUGCAUUAGUGCUGGUAUGAUCGCACCCGAAAUACUAUCCAUGCUUUUUGUUUUUAUGUCUUACAAGACGCAGAACCUCGUUUGCUUUCGUACGCGAGGCGUGGGACCUAGGUGAGGGAUCGGCUCCAUUCCGGAAACACGAAAACAAUCAACAUUGAACCGGAGGCCGCUCGAGCAUAGAAAUAGCAAGAAAGAAAAAAAAAACCGCACCUAAAACCUAAAAAAACGCAUACUGGCAACGAAAAAGGGGGUGCAACACGAGGACUUCCCAGGGGUCACCCAUCCUUGUACUACUCUUGCCCAAGCACGCUUAACUGUGGAGUUCUGAUGGGAUACGGUGCAUUAGUGCUGGUAUGAUAGCACCCCAAAUACUAUCCAUGCUUAUUUUUUUUAUGUCUUUCAAGUCGCAGAACCUCCUUUGCUUUUGUACGCGAGACGUGGGACCCACGUGAGGGAUCGACUCCGUUCCGGAAACACGAAAACAACCAACAUUGAACCGGAGGCCGCCAGAGCAUAGACAUAGCAAGAAAGAAAAAAAACCGCACCUAAAACCCAAAAAAACGCAAACGAGCAAUGAAAAAGGGGUGCAACACGAGGACUUCCCAGGGGUCACCUAUCCUAGUACUACUCUCGCCCAAGCACGCUUACCUGCGGAGUUCUGAUGGGAUCUGGUGCAUUAGUGCUGGUAUGAUCGCAUCCGAAAUACUAUCCAUGCUUAUUGUUUUUAUGUAUUAGAAGACGCAGAACCUCGUUUGCUUUCGUACGCGAGGCGUGGGUCCUAGGUGAAGGAUCGGCUCCGUUCCGGAAACACGAAAACAAUCAACAUUGAACCGGAGGCCGCCCGAGCAUAAACAUAGCAAGAAGGAAAAAAAAACCGCACCUAAAACCUAAAAAAACGCAAACUGGCAACGAAAAAAGGGGGUGCAACACAAGGACUUCCUAGGGGGUCACCCAUUCUAGUACUACUCUCGCCCAAGCACGGUUAACUGCGGUGUUCUGAUGGGAUCAGGUGCAUUAGUGCUGGUAUGAUCACACCCUAAAUACUAUCCUUACUUUUUGUUUUUAUGUCUUACAAGUCGCAGAACCUCGUUUGCUUUGGUAUGCGAGGUGUGGGACCUACGUGAGGGAUCGGCUCCGUUCCGGAAACACGAAAUCAAUCAAUAAUUAACCGGAGGCCGCCCGAGCAUAGACAUAGCAAGAAAGAAAAAAAAACCGCACCUAAAACUUAAAAAAACGCAAACGGGCAACAAAAAAGGGGGUGCAACACGAGGACUUCCGACGUGGUCACCCAUCCUAGUACUACUCUCGCCCAAGCACGCUUAACUGCAAAGUUAUGAUUGGAUUUGGUGCAUUAGUGCUGGUAUGAUCGCUCCCGAAAUACUAUCCAUGCUUAUUGUGAUUAUGUAUUACAAGACGCAGAACCUCGUUUGCUUUUGUACACGAGCAGUGGGACCUAGGUGAGGGAUCGGCCCUGUUCCGGAAACACGAAAAUAAUCAACGUGGAACCGGAGGCCGCCCGAGCAUAAAGAUAGCAAGAAAGAAAAAAAAACCGCACCUAAAACCUAAAAAAACGCAAACGAGCAACGAAAAAGGGGGUGCAACACGAGGACUUCCUAGGGGGUCACCCAUCCUAGUACUACUCUCGCCCAAGCACGCUUAACUGCGGAGUUCUGAUGGGAUCCGGUGCAUUAGUGCUGGUAUGAUCGCACCCGAAAUACUAUCCGUGGUAAUUGUUUUUAUGUCUUACAAGACGCAGAACCUCGUUUGCUUUCGUACGCGAGGCGUGGGACCCACGUGAGGGAUCGGCUCCGUUCAGGGAAACACGAAAACGAUCAACAUUGAACCGGAUGCCGCCCGAGCAUAGACAUAACAAGAAAGGAAAAAAAAANNNNNNNNNNNNNNNNNNNNNNNNNNNNNNNNNNNNNNNNNNNNNNNNNNNNNNNNNNNNNNNNNNNUAUAUAUAUAUAUAUAUAUAUAUAUAUAGUAAUCUAUUAAUUUUGUAAUUUAUUUUUCAAAUAGGUUCAAAACAUUUCACCCGAUAAAAAAACAUCAAUACAUCAAUAUGUAUUAUCUCUCAAAAGUUUUCUAUCUAUAAAAUAUUUAACUAUAAUAUAUUUUCGUAGUAGUUGUGUAUAAAUUUCAAAUCAAAACUACAUAAUUUUUUUUCGCUUCUUGUCUAAAAUUCGGUAAUAUUAUAAUUAUAUGUCAUUUUAAAAUGUUUCGGUUUUUAAAACCCGAAUUAUAAAAAGCGAUCCAACCAAAUUGUAAUUGGAUCGGAUCAGAUCGGAUUUGAAUUUAGUCUGGACUAUUUGGAUCCAUGCUUUGAAAACCGAAAUCAAUUUGGAUUCACUUGAUUCGAUCGGAUCAAACCGAUCCAUCCAAACGAACACCCCUAGGAUCCGGUGCAUUAAUGCUGGUAUGAUCGCACCCGAAAUACUAUCCAUGCUUAUUGUUUUUAUGUUUUACAAGACGCAGAACCUCGUUUGCUUUCAUACGCGAGGCGUGGGACCUAGGUGAAGGAUCGGCUCCGUUCCGGAAACACGAAAACAAUCAACAUUGAACCGGAGGCUGCCUGAGCAUAAACAUAGCAAGAAGGAAAAAAAACCGCACCUAAAACCUAAAAAAACGCAAACGGGCAACGAAAAAAGGGGGUGCAACACGAGGACUUCCCAGGGGGUCAACCAUUCUAGUACUACACUCGCCCAAGCACGCUUAACUGUGGAAUUCUGAUGGGAUCAGGUGCAUUAGUGCUGGUAUGAUCGCACCUGAAAUACUAUCCAUGCUUCUUGUUUUUAUGACUUAUAAGACGUAGAACCUCGUUUGCUUUCGUACGCGAGGCGUGGGACCUAGGUGAGGGAUCGGCUCCGUUCCGGAAACACGAAAACAAUCAACAUUGAAUCUGAGGCCGCCCGAGCAUAAUCAUAGCAAUAAAGAAAAAAAAAACCCGCACCUAAAACCUAAAAAAACGCAAACUGGCAACGAAAAAGGGGGUGCAACACAAGGACUUCCCACGGUGUCACGCAUCCUAGUACUACUCUCGCCUAUGCACGCUUAACUGCAGAGUUCUGAUGGGAUCCGGUGCAUUUGUGAUGGUAUGAUCGCACCCGAAAUACUAUCCAUGCUUAUUGUUUUUAUGUCUUACAAGACGUAGAACCUCGUUUGCUUUCGUACGCGAGGCGUGGGACCUAGGUUAAGGAUCGGCUCCGUUCCGGAAACACGAAAACAAUCAACAUUGAACCGGAGGCCGCCCGAGCAUAAACAUAGCAAAAAGGAAAAAAAAAACCGCACCUAAAACCUAAAAAAACGCAAACUAGCAACGAAAAAAGGGGGUGCAACACGAGGACUUCCCAGGGGGUCACCCAUUCUAGUACUACUCUCGCCCAAGCAUGCUUAACUGCGGAGUUCUGAUGGGAUCAGGUGCAUUAAUGCUAGUAUGAUCGCACCCUAAAUACUAUCCAUACUUUUUGUUUUUAUGUCUUACAAGUCGCAGAACCUCGUUUGCUUUCGUACGCGAGGCGUGGGACCCACGUGAGGGAUCGGCUCCGUUUUAGAAACACGAAAUCAAUCAACAUUGAACCGGAGGCCGCCCGAGCAUAGACAUAGCAAGAAAGAAAAAAAAAACCGCACCAAAAACUUAAACAAACGCAAACGGGCAACGAAGAAGGGGGUGCAACAAGAGGACUUCCCAGGUGGUCACCCAUCCUAGUACUACUCUCGCCCAAGCACGCUUAACCGCAAUGUUCUGAUCGGAUCCGGUGCAUUAGUGCUGGUAGGAUCGCACCCGAAAUACUAUCCAUGCUUAUUGUUUUUAUGUAUUACAAGACGCAGAACCUCGUUUGCUUUCGUAUGCGAGCAGUGGGACCUAGGUGAGGGAUCGGUUCCGUUCCGGAAACGCGAAAACAAUCAACAUUGAACCGGAGGCCGCCCGAGCAUAAUCAUAGCAAGAAAGAAAAAAACCACACCUAAAACUUAAAAAAACGCAAACGGGGAACGAAAAAGGGGGUGCAACACAAGGACUUCCUAGGGGGUCACCCAUCCUAGUACCACUCUCGCCCAAGCACGCUUAACUGCGGAUUUCUGAUGGGAUCCGGUGCAUUAGUGCUGGUAUGAUCGCACCCGAUAUACUAUCCAUGCUUAUUGUUUUUAUGUUUUACAAGACGUAGAACCUCGUUUGCUUUCAUACGCGUGGCGUGGGACCUAGGUGAAGGAUCGGCUCCGUUCCGGAAACACGAAAACAAUCAACAUUGAACCGGAGGCCGACCGAGCAUAAACAUAGAAGAAGGAAAAAAAACCGCACCUAAAACCUAAAAAAACGCAAACUGGCAACGAAAAAAGGGGGUGCAACACGAGGACUUCCCUGGGGGUCACCCAUUCUAGUACUACACUCGCCCAAGCACGCUUAACUGCGGAGUUCUGAUGGGAUCAGGUGCAUUAGUGCUGGUAUGAUCGCACCCGAAAUACUAUCCAUGCUUCGUGUUUUUA